ensembl:lncRNA
UAUACACAACCUUAUACACACCCUUAUACACACCCGUAUACUCACUCACUUGUUCACACACCCGUAUACACACUCCUUUAUUCACACGCCCUUAUACACACAACCUUAUACACACCUUUAUACACACAGCCUUUUGCACACCCACUUAUCCACUCCCUUAUACACACACUCAUACACACACACUCAUACACACAGCCUUAUACACAUCCCCUUACCCACACCCUUAUACACCCGUAUACACACACCCGUAUACACACACCCUUAUUCACACACCUUUAUACACACAACGUUAUACACACUUGUAUACACACUCACUUAUUCACACACCCUUAUACACACACCCGUAUACACACCCACAUACACACCCGCGUAUACACACACCCUUAUACACACCCGUGUACACACCCGUAUACACACUCAUAUACACACCCUUAUACACACCAACUUAUUCACACACCUUUAUACACACACCCAUAUACUCACUCACUUAUUCACAUACCCUUAUUCACACUCGUAUACUCACUCACUUAUUCACACACCCUUAUACACACAACCCUAUACACACCCGUAUACACACCCUUAUACACCCUUAUACACACCCGUAUACACACUCACUUAUUCACACACCCUUAUACACACAACCCUAUACACACCCGUAUACACACCCUUAUACACCCUUAUACACACCCGUAUACACACUCACUUAUUCACACACCCUUAUACACACAACCCUAUACACACCCUUAUACACCCUUAUACACACCCGUAUACACACUCACUUAUUCACACACCCUUAUACACACCAGUAUACAUACCCUUAUACACACUCCUAUGCACACAGUCUCAUACACUCGGUCUUAUACACACCUGUAUACACAGCCUUAUACACACCCUAUACAAACUCACUUAUUCACACAACCUCAUACACACACUCAUACACACCCAUAUACACACAACCUUAUUCACACACCUUUAUACACAACCUUAUACACACCCGUAUACAUACUCACUUAUUCACAGACCCUUAUACACACAGCCUUAUACCCACCCUUAUACUCUCCCGUGUACACUCCUACUUAUUCAAACACCCGUAUACUCACUCAUUCACACACUUUUAUACCCACACCCUUAUACACACCCGUAUACACACCCAUCUACACACAACCUUAUACACACCCUUAUGCACACCUGUAUACACACUCACUUAUUCACGCAGCCUUAUACACACAGCCUCACACACACCCUUAUACACCCUUAUACACACCCAUAUACACACACCCGUAUACAGUCACUUAUUCACACACCCUUAUACACACCCGUAUACACACCCGUACACCCAACCUUAUACUCACCCGUAUACACACAGCCUUAUACACACCCGUAUGCAUACUCCCUUAUACACACCUGUAAACUCACUCACUUAUUCACACACUCUUAUACACACCCGUGUACACAUUUACUUAUUCACACACCCUUAUGCACACACCCUUAUACACACAUGUAUACUCACCCGUAUACACACCUGUAUACACACCCAUAUACACACACCCGUAUACACACUCACUUAUUCACACACCGUUAUACACACAACCUUAUUCACACCCGUAUACCCAGCCUUAUACACACACCCUUAUACACACAGCCUUAUAUACACCCCCUUAUACACACCCAUAUACUCACCAAUAUACACAUACCCUUAAACAAAGCUUUAUACACACUCGUAUACACACUCACUUAUUCACACAGCCUUAUACACACCCGUAUGCACACCCAUAUACACACAGCCUCAUACACUCGGUCUUAUACACACCCGUAUACACACAGCCUUAUACACACCCGUAUACACACCCUUAUACACACCCUUAUACACACCCAUAUACACACCCAUAUACCCACUCACUUAUUCACACACCUUUAUACACACAACCUUAUACACACCCGUAUACACACUCACUUAUUCACACACGCUUAUUCACAGCCAUACACACACAACCUUAUACACACAGCCUUAUACACAC